rnacentral:lncRNA from 1 species
CUAUGUAUUAUAGCUGUUUCCAUAUUCAUUCAAUAUUAUGUUUGUGUUUUGAGUAAUCUUUGCCAUUUUUGCAAUGUUUUCAAGAUUGUUUAAUUUUAGAUUGUUCUACCUAUAGACAGGAGGGAGGAAUUCAAUCUGCAUUAUGAACUCUUAAGAGUUGUCCUUGCAUAUUUGACCUCAAUCACUUGGCAUCAUAUAUAUGCAAUAAAAACAGAAAAUACUCUAAGAUUAUACCAAAGAUCAUGAAGUAAGGAAUAAUCUUUUCUUGAUUCUGAAAGUUAACACUCAAGAAAAGUUUAUCUGAUAAGAAGAGACAAUAUGGGAGAACCAGAGAAAUCAAACUACACUGACUCUUAAAAAAUCUUCAGUGAAGAUGGUCAGCUUUACAGAUUUGA